UGUCACGAACGCUGGUCGGCAGGCUAAUACAUUCAAGUCGAGCGCGCCUUCGCGUGAGCGGCGGACGGGUUAGUAACGCGUGUGCCCUUUUCUACGUGAAUAGCCUCUGGAAACGGAGAGUAAUACCGUAUACGCCCUUUGGGGGAAAGAUUUAUCUGGAGAAGGAUCGGCCCGCGUUAGAUUAGGUAGUUGGUGGGGUAACGGCCUACCAAGCCUACGAUCUAUAGCUGGUUUUAGAGGAUGAUCAGCAACACUGGGACUGAGACACGGACCAGACUCCUACGGGAGGCAGCAGUGGGGAAUCUUAGACAAUGGGGGCAACCCUGAUCUAGCCAUGCCGCGUGAGUGAUGAAGGCCUUAGGGUCGUAAAAGCUCUUACGCCUGUGAUGAUAAUGACAGUAGCAGGUCAAGAAACCCCGGCUAACUCCGUGCAGCAGGCGCGGUAAUACAGAAGGGGUUAGCCGUUGACCGGAAAUUCUUGGGCGUAAAGCGCGGCUUAGGGGGAUUUAGACAAAGAUAGGGGGUGAAAUCCCAAUGGUCAACCUCGGGAACUAGCUCCAAAACUGGAAGCCUAGAAGUUCGAGACACGUAAGCGAAAUCCACUGAUGACGUGAAUACGUAUCAUAUACAGAGGCACAC
rnacentral:rRNA from 1 species